rnacentral:rRNA from 1 species
UACAGAGGGUGCGAGCGUUGUUCGGAAUUAUUGGGCGUAAAGAGCUCGUAGGCGGUUCGUCGCGUCGGCUGUGAAAUCCCGAGGCUCAACCUCGGGUCUGCAGUCGAUACGGGCGGACUGGAGUUCGGCAGGGGAGACUGGAAUUCCUGGUGUAGCGGUGAAAUGCGCAGAUAUCAGGAGGAACACCGGUGGCGAAGGCCGGUCUCUGGGCCGAUACUGACGCUGAGGAGCGAAAGCGUGGGGAGCGAACAGG